rnacentral:rRNA from 8 species
ACGACUCUCGGCAACGGAUAUCUUGGCUCUCGCAUCGAUGAAGAACGUAGCGAAAUGCGAUACUUGGUGUGAAUUGCAGAAUCCCGUGAACCAUCGAGUUUUUGAACGCAAGUUGCGCCCCAAGCCGUUAGGCUGAGGGCACGUCUGCCUGGGUGUCAC